rnacentral:rRNA from 1 species
CGGGUGAGUAACGCGUGAGGAACCUGCCUCAAAGAGGGGGGCAACAGUUGGAAACGACUGCUAAUACCGCAUAAGCCCACAGCUCGGCAUCGAGCAGAGGGAAAAGGAGCAAUCCGCUUUGAGAUGGCCUCGCGUCCGAUUAGCUAGUUGGUGAGGUAACGGCCCACCAAGGCGACGAUCGGUAGCCGGACUGAGAGGUUGAACGGCCACAUUGGGACUGAGACACGGCCCAG